AAUAAAAAGCUUCUUGAAUGUGUUCCUGAUAUAACAAGUGUUUGUUUGAAAAAACACUGAAAAUACGUUUGGACAGAAGACAGUGUUGUUUUGUGCAGCUGUUCAAAGCAUGUAAAAAUAGCUAUCAUGUAGUCCUUGCUGUGUUUCACAUUGCUUCUAUAAUGGCCUGAACAACUGGUGGAAGGAUAAUGGCUGAUGCUCAAUGAGGAUCUGGCUAAAAGCACC
rnacentral:lncRNA from 1 species